CAAAAGCGUAUAUUAAAGUUGUUGCAGUUAAAAAGCUCGUAGUUGAACCUUGGGCUUGGCUGGCCGGUCCAUCUUUUUUGAUGCGUACUGGACCCAGCCGAGCCUUUCCUUCUGGCUAGCCUUUUGGCGAACCAGGACUUUUACUUUGAAAAAAUUAGAGUGUUCAAAGCAGGCCUUUGCUCGAAUAUAUUAGCAUGGAAUAAUAGAAUAGGACGUUAUGGUUCUAUUUUGUUGGUUUCUAGGACCAUCGUAAUGAUUAAUAGGGACGGUCGGGGGUAUUAGUAUUCAGUUGUCAGAGGUGGAAUUCUUGGAUUUACUGAAGACUAACUACUGCGAAAGCAUUUACCAAGGACGUUUUCAUUAA
rnacentral:rRNA from 1 species